rnacentral:rRNA from 1 species
AGAAGGCCUCGGUUGUAAGACUCUUUCGGUCUGGGAAGAAAUACGCAUCUCCUAAUACGGGGUGUGGAUGACGGUACCAGCAUAAGAAGCACCGGCUAACUACGUGCCAGCAGCCGCGGUAAUACGUAGGGUGCGAGCGUUAAUCGGAAUUACUGGGCGUAAAGCGUGCGCAGGCGGUUUUCGUAAGACAGAGGUGAAAUCCCCGGGCUCAACCUGGGGAACUGCCUUUUGUGACUGCGAGGCUAGAGUAUGGCAGAGGGGGGUGGAAUUCCACGUGUAGCAGUGAAAUGCGUAGAGAUGUGGAGGAACACCGAUGGCGAAGGCAGCCCCCUGGGCCAAUACUGACGCUCAUGCACGAAAGCGUGGGGAGCAAACAGGAUUAGAUACCCCUGGUAGUCCACGCCCUAAACGAUGUCAACUAGGUGUUGGGAGGGUUAAACCUUUUAGUACCGUAGCUAACGCGUGAAGUUGACCGCCUGGGGAGUACGGCCGCAAGGUUAAAACUCAAAGGAAUUGACGGGG